rnacentral:lncRNA from 1 species
UUUAAUUAAAAUGAGAUGUUACGUGGUUCAGUUUUUCCUUAGCCACAUAUUCGGAUUUAAUCACCUUCAGUCACCUAAUUUUAUUCAGCCACGUAUCACUCACUGCUAUCACAUUUAAAUUCACCCAAAUAACCUGCUAGGUUUCAUUUCAUCAAAAUUUAGGUUUCAUUUCAUCAAAAUUUUCCAGAGCACAAAUUUCAUUUCAUCAAAAUUUAGGUUUCAUUUCAUCAAAAUUUUCCAGAGCACAAAUUUCAUUCACGUUAACAGACUUCUCAUUUCUGAUAUUUCCUUCACAAAACUUCAAUUGGCAAUUUUAUUGUUUCUGUGAGAUUUCAUGUUUUAAUUCAUCACAGCAAAUUACUACGUUUUUCUUUCAUUCUCAUUUAUUUUGUGAAACAAAACAAGCCCAUUAAACCAAACCCCUCUGUACAUAUGCACAUAACCAAAAUUCCUUAAAAAGAAAAUCUUUUAUAAGAAAUCAUUUUGGAUAAAUUCCUUUACGUAAGUAUUUGACAAACACUACAG